rnacentral:rRNA from 1 species
GACGAACGCUGGCGGCGUGCCUAAUACAUGCAAGUAGAACGCUGAAGGAGGAGCUUGCUUCUCUGGAUGAGUUGCGAACGGGUGAGUAACGCGUAGGUAACCUGCCUGGUAGCGGGGGAUAACUAUUGGAAACGAUAGCUAAUACCGCAUAAGAGUAGAUGUUGCAUGACAUUUGCUUAAAAGGUGCAAUUGCAUCACUACCAGAUGGACCUGCGUUGUAUUAGCUAGUUGGUGGGGUAACGGCUCACCAAGGCGACGAUACAUAGCCGACCUGAGAGGGGGAUCGGCCACACUGGGACUGAGACACGGCCCAGACUCCUACGGGAGGCAGCAGUAGGGAAUCUUCGGCAAUGGACGGAAGUCUGACCGAGCAACGCCGCGUGAGUGAAGAAGGUUUUCGGAUCGUAAAGCUCUGUUGUAAGGGAAGAACGAGUGUGAGAGUGGAAAGUUCACACUGUGACGGUAACUUACCAGAAAGGGACGGCUAACUACGUG